CUAGCUCAUGCUGAUAAGCACCUACUGACGCAAGCAGUUCCAUUAAGGCCCCUCCUUUCAAGGAAAAGCUCGAUUGGGCUCAGGCUACUUCUCUGGAAGAAUAAGAACAGUCUCUGCCAAUCUAUGAAUUUGUACAACAUGAUGUAAGAAAACUUCAAAAGGAGUUCUGGUUGAUGGCACUUUUAGAACCACCAAGGCUGUGGAGGAAAACCGUUUUCUGGAAAGAGCACUCCCAGAGCUACUUGCAAAAUCAUUAAGUGCUUAGAUCAUAGAAUAGUUCUUAAACUCCAUCACAUGUUUUUCCCUCCAUUUUUGUUUCUUAAUUGUUAAUCUCCUGAACCUUUGAGUAGUCAUGAUAUCCCCUACAAUAGAAGAGAACUUUCCCAAAGGCUUUCUGAAGCUUCUGAGAACCUCUGCUAUAAAUUAUGGUUGUAUUCUCCACAGAAGGCUGAGAACCAUUUUGUGCAAAUAAUGGCACAGAAGCUCUUGCAUUUCUGCAGAGUUGCUGAAGGCUUCUUCCCCCUCCCCAGUUUGUCUACUGCUGUCAUUCUAAAAUCAACGGAGGCCAGGGCUCUUUGGGACUCCAUGCUUGUACUACCAAUGAAACAAUUGAUGGAGGGGAAGUGUAUCCUACAUGGUUUCAACACAAAGUAUUUCCGGAAAGCAGGAGCCUUUGGGAUGAGAGAGAGAACCUACAAGUGUAACUGGAAUAUGCACUACUCCUCCAGCUACUUGUCCAAGCUUACUACUGCACAGUAG
ensembl:lncRNA